GACGUAGGGGGCCAGCGUUGUUCGGAAUUACUGGGUGUAAAGGGUUCGUAGGCGGUGCGGCAAGUCGGGAGUGAAAUCUCUGGGCUCAACCCAGAGGCUGCUUCCGAAACUGCUGUGCUUGAGUGUGGGGAGAGGCGCGUGGAAUUGCAGGUGUAGCGGUGAAAUGCGUAGAUAUCAGGAAGAACACCAAUGGCGAAGGCAGCUCUCUGGGGACGGUACUGACGCUGAGACGCGAAAAGCGUGGGGAGCGAACAGG
rnacentral:rRNA from 1 species